rnacentral:rRNA from 1 species
GGUUAAGCGACUAAGCGUACACGGUGGAUGCCCUGGCAGUCAGAGGCGAUGAAGGACGUGCUAAUCUGCGAUAAGCGUCGGUAAGGUGAUAUGAACCGUUAUAACCGGCGAUUUCCGAAUGGGGAAACCCAGUGUGUUUCGACACACUAUCAUUAACUGAAUCCAUAGGUUAAUGAGGCGAACCGGGGGAACUGAAACAUCUAAGUACCCCGAGGAAAAGAAAUCAACCGAGAUUCCCCCAGUAGCGGCGAGCGAACGGGGAGGAGCCCAGAGCCUGAAUCAGUGUGUGUGUUAGUGGAAGCGUCUGGAAAGGCGCGCGAUACAGGGUGACAGCCCCGUACACAAAAAUGCACAUGCUGUGAGCUCGAUGAGUAGGGCGGGACACGUGGUAUCCUGUCUGAAUAUGGGGGGACCAUCCUCCAAGGCUAAAUACUCCUGACUGACCGAUAGUGAACCAGUACCGUGAGGGAAAGGCGAAAAGAACCCCGGCGAGGGGAGUGAAAAAGAACCUGAAACCGUGUACGUACAAGCAGUGGGAGCACGCUUAGGCGUGUGACUGCGUACCUUUUGUAUAAUGGGUCAGCGACUUAUAUUCUGUAGCAAGGUUAACCGAAUAGGGGAGCCGAAGGGAAACCGAGUCUUAACUGGGCGUUAAGUUGCAGGGUAUAGACCCGAAACCCGGUGAUCUAGCCAUGGGCAGGUUGAAGGUUGGGUAACACUAACUGGAGGACCGAACCGACUAAUGUUGAAAAAUUAGCGGAUGACUUGUGGCUGGGGGUGAAAGGCCAAUCAAACCGGGAGAUAGCUGGUUCUCCCCGAAAGCUAUUUAGGUAGCGCCUCGUGAAUUCAUCUCCGGGGGUAGAGCACUGUUUCGGCAAGGGGGUCAUCCCGACUUACCAACCCGAUGCAAACUGCGAAUACCGGAGAAUGUUAUCACGGGAGACACACGGCGGGUGCUAACGUCCGUCGUGAAGAGGGAAACAACCCAGACCGCCAGCUAAGGUCCCAAAGUCAUGGUUAAGUGGGAAACGAUGUGGGAAGGCCCAGACAGCCAGGAUGUUGGCUUAGAAGCAGCCAUCAUUUAAAGAAAGCGUAAUAGCUCACUGGUCGAGUCGGCCUGCGCGGAAGAUGUAACGGGGCUAAACCAUGCACCGAAGCUGCGGCAGCGACGCUGAUGCGUUGUUGGGUAGGGGAGCGUUCUGUAAGCCUGUGAAGGUGUACUGUGAGGUAUGCUGGAGGUAUCAGAAGUGCGAAUGCUGACAUAAGUAACGAUAAAGCGGGUGAAAAGCCCGCUCGCCGGAAGACCAAGGGUUCCUGUCCAACGUUAAUCGGGGCAGGGUGAGUCGACCCCUAAGGCGAGGCCGAAAGGCGUAGUCGAUGGGAAACAGGUUAAUAUUCCUGUACUUGGUGUUACUGCGAAGGGGGGACGGAGAAGGCUAUGUUGGCCGGGCGACGGUUGUCCCGGUUUAAGCGUGUAGGCUGGUUUUCCAGGCAAAUCCGGAAAAUCAAGGCUGAGGCGUGAUGACGAGGCACUACGGUGCUGAAGCAACAAAUGCCCUGCUUCCAGGAAAAGCCUCUAAGCAUCAGGUAACAUCAAAUCGUACCCCAAACCGACACAGGUGGUCAGGUAGAGAAUACCAAGGCGCUUGAGAGAACUCGGGUGAAGGAACUAGGCAAAAUGGUGCCGUAACUUCGGGAGAAGGCACGCUGAUAUGUAGGUGAAGCGACUUGCUCGUGGAGCUGAAAUCAGUCGAAGAUACCAGCUGGCUGCAACUGUUUAUUAAAAACACAGCACUGUGCAAACACGAAAGUGGACGUAUACGGUGUGACGCCUGCCCGGUGCCGGAAGGUUAAUUGAUGGGGUUAGCGCAAGCGAAGCUCUUGAUCGAAGCCCCGGUAAACGGCGGCCGUAACUAUAACGGUCCUAAGGUAGCGAAAUUCCUUGUCGGGUAAGUUCCGACCUGCACGAAUGGCGUAAUGAUGGCCAGGCUGUCUCCACCCGAGACUCAGUGAAAUUGAACUCGCUGUGAAGAUGCAGUGUACCCGCGGCAAGACGGAAAGACCCCGUGAACCUUUACUAUAGCUUGACACUGAACAUUGAGCCUUGAUGUGUAGGAUAGGUGGGAGGCUUUGAAGUGUGGACGCCAGUCUGCAUGGAGCCGACCUUGAAAUACCACCCUUUAAUGUUUGAUGUUCUAACGUUGACCCGUAAUCCGGGUUGCGGACAGUGUCUGGUGGGUAGUUUGACUGGGGCGGUCUCCUCCUAAAGAGUAACGGAGGAGCACGAAGGUUGGCUAAUCCUGGUCGGACAUCAGGAGGUUAGUGCAAUGGCAUAAGCCAGCUUGACUGCGAGCGUGACGGCGCGAGCAGGUGCGAAAGCAGGUCAUAGUGAUCCGGUGGUUCUGAAUGGAAGGGCCAUCGCUCAACGGAUAAAAGGUACUCCGGGGAUAACAGGCUGAUACCGCCCAAGAGUUCAUAUCGACGGCGGUGUUUGGCACCUCGAUGUCGGCUCAUCACAUCCUGGGGCUGAAGUAGGUCCCAAGGGUAUGGCUGUUCGCCAUUUAAAGUGGUACGCGAGCUGGGUUUAGAACGUCGUGAGACAGUUCGGUCCCUAUCUGCCGUGGGCGCUGGAGAACUGAGGGGGGCUGCUCCUAGUACGAGAGGACCGGAGUGGACGCAUCACUGGUGUUCGGGUUGUCAUGCCAAUGGCACUGCCCGGUAGCUAAAUGCGGAAGAGAUAAGUGCUGAAAGCAUCUAAGCACGAAACUUGCCCCGAGAUGAGUUCUCCCUGACCCUUUAAGGGUCCUGAAGGAACGUUGAAGACGACGACGUUGAUAGGCCGGGUGUGUAAGCGCAGCGAUGCGUUGAGCUAACCGGUACUAAUGAACCGUGAGGCUUAACCUU